UAGAAUCUUGAUGACCCAUUAACAAUAGGACACCGCCAAAGGGGACAAGAUUAGACACGUAAGUAAUAUUUUUAGUAGAGAAAGAAAUUUUAUGAAAAAGAGUACGUAAAUCAGGGAAAGUGUGGGUGCUCGGAGGAAUAGUAUGUAGUUCGUCAUCUCUCUCGGCUCAGUUCGGCUAGCUUCGCCGCUUAUGCAACAGUCCCGCGUCCUGUGCACGUGCUUGCGACCACGUGGACAUUGGUCACGUUACGCUGGCCAAUAUUACUGAAAAUGGAAUUAUUCUUACGUAGCCGCGUAAGCUCGUAACGACAAAACCUAUCGGACCCGUAGAGGCCACGAUGACCGACACGUGAACAUCGCUUUUGGAUUGCCGGGUCUUCCCCUACGGUUACAUUUGCAAAUUGUAAAGCCCGGGAGGAGUUUGUAACAAGCAACGAUUGAGAGAGCAGAAUGAAGUGGUUGAUGCUGAGGUUUCGAGGUUUCGAGCUUCAGAUUUAUGGAUUUAGGAUAUGAAAGAAAAGAUUUCGAA